AUGUUAGCGGCGGACGGGUGAGUAACACGUGGGUAACCUGCCUGUAAGACUGGGAUAACUCCGGGAAACCGGGGCUAAUACCGGAUGGUUGUCUGAACCGCAUGGUUCAGACAUAAAAGGUGGCUUCGGCUACCACUUACAGAUGGACCCGCGGCGCAUUAGCUAGUUGGUGAGGUAACGGCUCACCAAGGCGACGAUGCGUAGCCGACCUGAGAGGGUGAUCGGCCACACUGGGACUGAGACACGGCCCAGACUCCUACGGGAGGCAGCAGUAGGGAAUCUUCCGCAAUGGACGAAAGUCUGACGGAGCAACGCCGCGUGAGUGAGGAAGGUUUUCGGAUCGUAAAGCUCUGUUGUUAGGGAAGAACAAGUGCCGUUCAAAUAGGGCGGCACCUUGACGGGACCUAACCAGAAAGCCACGGCUAACUACGGGGCCAGCAGCCGCGGUAAUACGUAGGUGGCAAGCGUUGUCCGGAAUUAUUGGGCGUAAAGGGCUCGCAGGCGGUUUCUUAAGUCUGAUGUGAAAGCCCCCGGC
rnacentral:rRNA from 1 species